rnacentral:rRNA from 1 species
AGUGAACGCUGGCGGCGAGCUUAACACAUGCAAGUCGAACGAGAACGGGCUAUAGCUUGCUAUAGUUGUCAGCUAAGUGGCGCACGGGUGAGUAAUGUAUAGGUAAUAUGCCUCUUACUAAGGGAUAACAAAUGGAAACGUUUGCUAAUACCUUAUACUCCUUAUUAACAGAAGUUAAUAAGGGAAAGAUUUAUUGGUAAGAGAUUAGCCUGUAUUGUAUCAGUUAGUUGGUGGGGUAAUGGCUUACCAAGAAUAUGACACAUAACUGGUUUGAGAGGAUGAUCAGUCACACUGGAACUGAGACACGGUCCAGACUCCUACGUGAGGCAGCAGUGGGGAAUAUUGCACAAUGGACGAAAGUCUGAUGCAGCAACGCCGCGUGGAGGAUGACACAUUUCGGUGCGUAAACUCCUUUUAUAUGAGAAGAUAAUGACGGUAUUAUAUGAAUAAGCACCGGCUAACUCCGUGCCAGCCGCCGCAGUAA